AUUUGACAUGCAUGCAUAAUGGCUAUUUUGGGCUCUUUUUGAGGUUGCAAAAGUCAAAUAUGUUAACCAAAAGUGAAGAUUCAUGGCUGCUGGGUAUUUGUCAUGUGGGUUUAUAUGAGAAUUCUACAAUAAAUUUGUUUGGCAAUCUACCACUGGAGAUGACACACACACGCGUGGUCAAUUAUCAGCUGUCAACUUGGUUGAGUCUUUUUCCUCUUGUGAAAUUGCCUUGUAUUGCAUGUCCUAAUUGCCCAAAGUCCAUGACUUUCUUCCACAGAGACCAACUUUCCAAACCAAGGUGCCGUGUAAAAUAAGAAAACCAAGUCCAACAAAUAUAGGCUUUACUUAUUAUCAGUACAGAAACACAUAUUGUACUUUUACGUUUUGGUACUUCCACCUCCUCUGCAUAAUUUCGUUGGAUAAGUAUAUAGUCCCAGAAUAUCAAUGCAAGCCUUGAGGAACCUUUUUGUGUGCUUCUUGUUUUUCUCCUUCUUAAGAAUUUCAACUACAACCACACUAGACAUAAUCACUCCAAGUAGAUAUAUUAGAGAUGGUGAAACUCUAGUUUCUGCAGGUGGAAGCUUUGAACUUGGAUUCUUUAGCCCUGGUGCAUCAGAAGGCCGAUACUUGGGAAUAUGGUACACUUUUGAUACUGAGGCAGUUGUAUGGGUAGCCAACAGAGAAACACCACUUGGCAAUUCUUCAGGAGUUUUGAAGGUCACCGAGCAAGGAGUUCUAGUCCUUCUCAAUAGCACAAACAGGAUUGUAUGGUCAUCAAAUUCAUCAACAACUGCAGGGAAUCCAGUGUCACAACUCUUGGAUUCUGGAAAUCUUGUUGUGAAAGACGGAAAUGAAACUAACCCUGAUAAAUUCUUGUGGCAGAGUUUUGAUUAUCCUUGUGACACAUUCCUACCAGAAAUGAAGCUUGGUUGGGACUUAGUUACUGGUUUAGAUAGGUACGUCUCGUCUUGGAGGAGCACAGAAGAUCCUGCUCCAGGAGAGUUUUCAUUACGGAUGGAUCGUCGUGGUUUCCCACAAGUUGAUACCAUGAAAGGAGCUAAGAUAAUGGCUACAGCAGGGUCAUGGAAUGACAUUUAUUUUACAGCAUAUCCAUAUCCUCCACAAACACGGGAAAACCAAAUACUUGGGUAUGAAUUUGUGUUGGACAAGAAUGAGAUCUAUUACGAGUACAGACUCCUAAACAGGUCCAUGUUCUCAAGAUACGUACUGAAUCCAUCAGGCAUUGCACAGAGAUUCACAUGGGUGCACCAAACACAUAGUUGGGAACUUUACUCUACAUUCCAAGCAGAUCAGUGUCAAAAUUAUGCCUUGUGUGGCACAUAUACUAGUUGCAAUAUGAAUGUCUCUCCCUCAUGUGCAUGCUUGAAGGGAUUUGUACCAAAAUCUCCACAAGAUUGGAAUUUGGGAUAUUGGUCUGAUGGGUGUGUUUGAAAGAUUCCAUUGGCUUGCAGCUAUGGAGAUGGCUUCCUAAAGUACACUGGUGUUAAAUUGCCAGACACAUCUUCCUCACGGUUUGAUAAGAGCAUGAGCCUCAAGGAAUGUAAGGGAUUAUGUUUGAAAAACUGCUCAUGUACGGCAUAUGCAAAUUUAGAUGUCAGGGAGGGAGGAACUGGCUGUUUGCUUUGGUUUGGUAACCUCACUGACAUAAGACAAUUCACUCCCGGUGGUGGUCAAGACCUCUAUAUACGGAUGGCAGCUUCAGAACUUGAUGGAAUUGAUAAAAAGAGCAAGUUCAACAAGGAAAAGCUACCUGGAAUUCUCAUCAGCUCUGCAGUUUUUCUUGUCGGAACAUUAAUAAUUGGAUUGAUAUUGUAUAUACGGAAGAAGAAACUCAUAAAUCAAGGAGUUAGAAGCAUAGAUUGCACAAAAGAUUACCUUGGAGAAGACAGGGAAGACAUGGAGUUAACACCACUAUUUGAUUUGAGCACCGUAGCUAAAGCCACCAAUGACUUUUCAAGCAGCAACAAGCUGGGAGAAGGUGGUUUUGGACCUGUGUACAAGGGUACAUUGAUCGGAGGGAAAGAAAUUGCGGUAAAAAGACUUUCGAAGAAUUCUGGGCAAGGAAUGAUAGAGUUCAAAAAUGAAGUUAAACUGAUAGCAAGACUUCAGCAUCGCAAUCUUGUAAAGCUCUUGGGUUGUUGCGUUCAAGAAGAGGAAAAAAUCUUGAUAUAUGAAUUCGUGCCCAAAAAAAGCUUGGACUUCUUUAUUUUUGAUCAAGAAGGACAAAGAUUGCUCGACUGGCCUACGUGCUUUCACAUCAUUGGUGGAAUUGCUAGAGGGCUUCUUUAUCUUCACCAAGACUCUAGAUUAAGGAUUAUCCAUAGAGAUUUGAAAGCUAGCAAUAUCCUGCUUGAUAAUAAUAUGAACCCUAAGAUUUCAGACUUCGGCCUCGCUAAAACAUUUGGAAGUGAUCAAUACAAAUAGAGUAGUUGGAACGUAUGGUUACAUGUCUCCCGAAUAUGCAGUAGAUGGAAUUUUCUCAAUGAAAUCUGAUGUCUUUAGCUUUGGAGUUAUACUGCUAGAAAUGUUGAGUAGGAAGAAGAACAGGGGAUUUUCUCAUCCAGAUCACCACCUUAACCUUCUUGGACAUGCAUGGAUACCAUGGAUUGAAGAUAAAGCAUUGGAACUGAUUGAUAAGACAUUACUUGAUUCGUGCACCAUAUCUGAAGUGUUAAGGUGUCUUCAUGUGGCGCUGUUAUGUGUGCAAAGAGUACCUGAAGAUAGACCAAGCAUGUCAUCUGUGGUUCUAAUGUUGAGCAGUGAUGUUACCUUGCCUCCACCGAAACAGCCUGGUUUUUACACCGAGCGAAGUGUCCCUGAAUCACCCUUAAGUACACGCCGGUGUUCAGCGAAUACUUCCAUUACAAUAAUAGAGGCUCGGUAGAUCAUCUUUCUGGUGCUUGUUCAUGCGUCUGUCUACCAUUACAAAAUGUAUUUGGCAGGUUGUCUACAACUUUGUAGUCUUAGCUAGGAAACAAUGACAUAAGAUUAUUCAUAGUAUCCAAAAAAGAUGUGAUUGAAUUAUAAGUUUGCUUGGAGUUGUUGGGUUGUUGAAGAAAAUUCAAGGGGUGUGGCCUGCUAUCAACACAGUCGAUGCACGCUGGUCUGGGUGGGGAAUUUGAUCGAACUAGUGACGGGCACGUUGAAAAUCUGCGGAAUUAUGGUAGACUUUGAAGAACCGAAGGCUCAGGUGAGAUGGGACGUUGGCGGGUAGUGUUUCAACGGAUUUGGUAUCUUCUUCUAAUUUCUAGGGAUAAACUUGAAGUUCACAAGUGGCUUUGAAAACAUUGAAACGUUUGGUUU